GGGGUUGUGGCUCAGCGGUAGAGUGCUUGCUUAGUACGCGCGAGGCCCUGAGUUCGAUACUCAGCACCA
rnacentral:tRNA from 1 species